rnacentral:tRNA from 1 species
GCUUCCAUAGCUCAACAGGAUAGAGCAGUGGUCUUCUAAACCAUAGAUCGGGGUUCGAGUCCCUGUGGGAGUGCCA